rnacentral:lncRNA from 1 species
AGGCAAGCCGACCACCACCCAAAGGCACCCGUUUCAGCAGCUUCCAUUCAGGGCAAGUCAUAUGCUGGGCUGGACUCUGCCGCCAGCUUGCUAUUGCCCAUGCCCCUAACUCCGAGUGGCCUCUGCUCACAGCAAUCGAGGAGGCUGUGGGAAAGGUGUGAAGGUCAGGCAGUUGUUGGCCUGGGCAUCGAAGUGCCAGCGGGUCUGCUCUUCGCCACAGUCCUCACUGUCUGGGGGCUUCAGGCACUCGGCCGCCGGGAAAGCCGUGCCAUUGGGGCUGCUCUCUGAGGUGGCUGCAGCCUGAUGACCCCUGACCACCGACAGCGGGAAAUCAGCCCUCAGGACCCCAGCCACGUUCCGGGCCGUGCAGGUGUAGAUCCCAGCAUCCUGCAGCUGGGCGUUAUAGAUGACCAGCUGGGCAAUGUUGGUGACCACCACGUUGCCACGCACAUGGUUGGG